rnacentral:rRNA from 1 species
UACGUAGGGUCCGAGCGUUGUCCGGAAUUACUGGGCGUAAAGAGCUCGUAGGUGGUUUGUCGCGUUGUCCGUGAAAACUCACAGCUCAACUGUGGGCGUGCGGGCGAUACGGGCAGACUGGAGUACUGCAGGGGAGACUGGAAUUCCUGGUGAUAGCGGUGAAAUGACGCAGAUAUCAGGAAGAACACCGGUGGCGAAGGCGGUUAGCUGGGCAGUUGCUGACACUGGAGGCGCGACAGCGUGGGGAGCAAACAGG